GGUGCAUAAGAGGCUCCUCCUCCUCUCUCUCCCUGCAACUCCUGUUACUUUCCGUUAUUCUCCUCUCACCUUUUCUCCUGACUGCCUGCACGGUGCAACCUAGGGUGCCAAGAUUUGGGGGCGCCGCUGCCAAUCAAGACGCUGGCUGCAGAUCGCAGACUGUAGGAACGGAGGACGUGUAUGUGUGAUCUGGUUAGCAUGGAACCAGUAACUUUAAGCUGCACUUCACCACCAGGCCAAGUACGGUCAAAACAUGAGAGAUCCUUACACCAGAGGAAAAACAAGUUCAAAAGAAAAAGGAAAGAGAGAGCUGCAAAGGAAAAUUCAUCAGCAUCAGUGAUUGAUGGAUGGAUGAAGCCCAGUAAAUACAUU